GGUCGCCAAUGGCUCAGUUGGUAGAGCAAUGGGCCUUCGUGCCGAUCGGAGCGGGUUUGGAUCCCGCCGGCGACCA